AGAGUUUGAUCCUGGCUCAGGACGAACGCUGGCGGCGUGCUUAACACAUGCAAGUCGAACGGUGAUCUUGGGAGCUUGCUCCUGGGUGAUCAGUGGCGAACGGGUGAGUAACACGUGAGUAACCUGCCCCGGACUCUGGGAUAACUUCGGGAAACCGGAGCUAAUACCGGAUAUGACCCUCGCCUGCAUGGGCUGGGGGUGGAAAGUUUUUCGGUCUGGGAUGGGCUCGCGGCCUAUCAGCUUGUUGGUGAGGUAGUGGCUCACCAAGGCGACGACGGGUAGCCGGCCUGAGAGGGCGACCGGCCACACUGGGACUGAGACACGGCCCAGACUCCUACGGGAGGCAGCAGUGGGGAAUAUUGCACAAUGGGCGCAAGCCUGAUGCAGCGACGCCGCGUGAGGGAUGACGGCCUUCGGGUUGUAAACCUCUUUCAGCAGGGAAGAAGCGUGAGUGACGGUACCUGCAGAAGAAGCACCGGCUAACUACGUGCCAGCCGCCGCGGUAAUUC
rnacentral:rRNA from 1 species